CUCUUGUUUGGAUAAUUACAUCUACCCCCCUCAACUAUGAUUUUUUCUUACAUUUAUGGUGCCAAAUUCAACAUAGUCAUCUAGAUUCCGUGAAAUGUGCUCUAGUUUGUACUCUUUGUGUAAAAAAUACAGUUUUCGAUGCACCACAAACUGAUAUAUACAAGCUAAAAAUCACAUAUUAUGGUCAUCUUGCUUCAUAAUGUAGAGUUUGAAUGGGAUAAAACGGGUACAAAAGUGAUAAUAUUUCAUAUAAUCUCGAAGAUUCCACUAAAUUUGAUGAGUUGAGGGGGG
rnacentral:lncRNA from 1 species